GUCCACGCCCUAAACGAUGCCGACUAGUUGUUGGGGGAGUUAAAUCCCUUAGUAACGCAGCUAACGCGUGAAGUCGGCCGCCUGGGGGAGUACGGGUCGCAAGAUUAAAAACUCAAAAGGAAUUGACGGGGGCCCGCACAAGCGGUGGAUGAUGUGGUUUAAUUCGACGCAACGCGAAAAACCUUACCUACCCUUGACAUGUGCGGAAUCCUGCAGAGAUGCAGGAGUGCCCGAAAGGGAACCGCAACACAGGUGCUGCAUGGCUGUCGU
rnacentral:rRNA from 1 species